rnacentral:rRNA from 1 species
AUUGAACGCUGGCGGCAGGCCUAACACGUGCAAGUCGAGCGGAGCGGCGGACGGGUGAGUAAUGCCUAGGAAUCUGCCUGGUAGUGGGGGAUAACGUCCGGAAACGGGCGCUAAUACCGCAUACUAUCAGAUGAGCCUAGGUCGGAUUAGCUAGUUGGUGGGGUAAAUGCCUACCAAGGCGACGAUCCGUAACUGGUCUGAGAGGAUGAUCAGUCACGCGGGAACUAGGACACGGUCCAGACUCCUACGGGAGGCAGCAGAGGGGAAUAUUGGACAAUGGGCGAACGCCUGAUCCAGCCAUGCCGCUUGUGUGAAGAAGGUCUUCGGAGUGUAAAGCACUUUAAGUUGGGAGGCGUUACCAACAGAAUAAGCACCGUCUAACUUCGUGCCAGCAGCCGCGGUGAGUC